UACGUAGGGAGCAAGCGUUGUCCGGAAUCAUUGGGCGUAAAGCGCGCGUAGGCGGCCCGAUAAGUCCGCUGUAAAAGUCAACGGCUCAACUGUUGAAAGCCGGUGGAUACUGUCGGGCUAGAGUACGGAAGAGGCAAGUGGAAUUCCUGGUGUAGCGGUGGAAUGCGCAGAUACCAGGAGGAACACCCAUAGCGAAGGCAGCUUGCUGGGACGUUACUGACGCUAAGGCGCGAAAGCGUGGGGAGCGAACAGG
rnacentral:rRNA from 1 species